AAAUUGAAGAGUUUGAUCAUGGCUCAGAUUGAACGCUGGCGGCAGGCCUAACACAUGCAAGUCGAACGGUAACAGGAAGCAGCUUGCUGCUUUGCUGACGAGUGGCGGACGGGUGAGUAAUGUCUGGGAAACUGCCUGAUGGAGGGGGAUAACUACUGGAAACGGUGGCUAAUACCGCAUAACGUCGCAAGACCAAAGAGGGGGACCUUCAGGCCUCUUGCCAUCAGAUGUGCCCAGAUGGGAUUAGCUUGUUGGUGAGGUAACGGCUCACCAAGGCGACGAUCCCUAGCUGGUCUGAGAGGAUGACCAGCCACACUGGAACUGAGACACGGUCCAGACUCCUACGGGAGGCAGCAGUGGGGAAUAUUGCACAAUGGGCGCAAGCCUGAUGCAGCCAUGCCGCGUGUAUGAAGAAGGCCUUCGGGUUGUAAAGUACUUUCAGCGGGGAGGAAGGUGUUGUGGUUAAUAACCGCAGCAAUUGACGUUACCCGCAG
rnacentral:rRNA from 1 species